UACGUAGGGGGCUAGCGUUGUCCGGAUUUAUUGGGCGUAAAGAGCGUGUAGGCGGCCAGGUAGGUCUGGUGUGAAAACUCGAGGCUUAACCUUGAGAUGUCAUCGGAAACCAUUUGGCUAGAGUCCGGAAGAGGAAAGUGGAAUUCCUGGUGUAGCGGUGAAAUGCGCAGAUAUCAGGAAGAACACCAAUGGCGAAAGCAGCUUUCUGGGACGGUACUGACGCUGAUACGCGAAAGCGUGGGGAGCGAACAGG
rnacentral:rRNA from 1 species